AUGCGGGGCAGAGCGCCGUGGGUACCCACGUUACGGCCGGGUGCUAGCGACAAUGUCAGAGCCGCCCGGGGAGUUCUCACCUCGCCGGCCAGAGUUGGCAGCCGCCUCCGUUCUGGAGCAGCGACCGUCACACCAGCGGGCCUCCCCCCAGGCUCUGGAGAGGGCCUGCGGGGUGGCCCUGGACGCACGGGGACGCUCCUAGGGAGACGGCCGCUGGGACCCUGGGGACACGCGUCCGGACCCCUCACACCUCACGUUCCACACGCCCCAUCCCUGUCCCCGAAGCCCCGGCCGGCCACCGCCGUGGCUGUGAACCCCACGCGGCGCCACCGGCCGACUCACGCCCUCGAGGUGCUUCCGCGGCUGCCCUGGCCCACGGUCCACUCCUCGGCCCGUGGCCGGCCCACGUCGGGGGAGGCUCAUCGCCCCCAGGCGUCACUGGGGUCCCCUCUCCGGCCCCGGGGCCCACCUCCCCCGGAUUCACGCGCGAGGCCUACCUGCCGGCUUCUGCUCCGCGUCGCUGGGAGUCGCGUGUGGCUCCAGCCCGGGGCGGCGUUGCUGCCCCUGAGGCCCCGGUGGCCGCCUGACAGGCCCGCCGUCGAUGGCCUGGCCUCGAGGGCGCGGCGCCGGGGCGGGCUCGGGGUUCCCCGGGGUUCCCCUUUGCCUAACGCUGUCUGCCCGGCGCCGGGACCGUGCAGAGCGUGCUGGGCGGUACGUCCCGCAAACACACUGAGCGAGGCAGUUCACGUUUUCAGGAGCCCGCUUUGCCGCCUCGCGAGAAGUGGAGCGGGGCUGGCGGGGCGGAGGCCGGGAGAACCGCGGCUUGAGCGCGGGGCUGCGGGGGGUGGGGGAGCCCAGCUCACAGGGAGCACGGACGGUGCGGACGAGGGGGGGCGCCACAGGCCUGCGGCAGGUGAGCGAGCCGUCCUGGAGCCCCUGUGUGGCGACAGCCGGUCUAGGAGGGUCCAGGCCGCAGCGCUGGUGGGGUCUCAGGGUACAGGGUGGCCCUGCUUCCUCCAGGAGGCCGCCAGGGUGACAGCGUGA
rnacentral:lncRNA from 1 species